UACGGGGGGGGCGAGCGUUGUCCGAAGUUACUGGGCGUAAAGCGUGCGUAGGCGGUUUGUUAAGUCCGUUGUGAAAGCCCUGGGCUCAACCUGGGAAUUGCAGUGGAUACUGGCGAGCUAGAGUGCGGUAGAGGAUGGUGGAAUUCCCGGUGUAGCGGUGAAAUGCGUAGAGAUCGGGAGGAACACCCGUGGCGAAGGCGGCCAUCUGGACCAGCACUGACGCUGAGGCACGAAAGCGUGGGGAGCAAACAGGG
rnacentral:rRNA from 1 species